UGGGGAAUAUUGCGCAAUGGGGGGAACCCUGACGCAGCCAUGCCGCGUGAAUGAAGAAGGCCUUCGGGUUGUAAAGUUCUUUCGGUAUUGAGGAAGGUUGAUGUGAUAAUAGCACAUCAAAUUGACGUUAAAUACAGAAGAAGCACCGGCUAACUCCGUGCCAGCAGCCGCGGUAAUACGGAGGGUGCGAGCGUUAAUCGGAAUAACUGGGCGUAAAGGGCACGCAGGCGGUUAUUUAAGUGAGGUGUGAAAGCCCUGGGCUUAACCUAGGAAUUGCAUUUCAGACUGGGUAACUAGAGUACUUUAGGGAGGGGUAGAAUUCCACGUGUAGCGGUGAAAUGCGUAGAGAUGUGGAGGAAUACCGAAGGCGAAGGCAGCCCCUUGGGAAUGUACUGACGCUCAUGUGCGAAAGCGUGGGGAGCAAACAGGAUUAGAUACCCUGGUAGUCCACGCUGUAAACGCUGUCGAUUUGGGGGUUGGGGUUUAACUUUGGCGCCCGUAGCUAACGUGAUAAAUCGACCGCCUGGGGAGUACGGCCGCAAGGUU
rnacentral:rRNA from 1 species